rnacentral:rRNA from 1 species
GUACGCUGGCGGCACGCCUAACACAUGCAAGUCGGACGAAGUAGCAAUACUUAGUGGCAGACGGGUGAGUAACAUGUGGGUAUCUGCCCUUUGGCCUGGAAUAACACGAGGAAACUUGUGCUAAUACCGGAUAAGUCUUUACGGGGAAAGCUUUAUGCACCAUUGGACGAGCCCGCACUUGAUUAGUUUGUUGGUGGGGUAAUGGCCUACCAAGACUGUGAUCAAUAGCUGAUUUGAGAGGAUGAUCAGCCACAUUGGGACUGAGACACGGCCCAAACUCCUACGGGAGGCAGCAGUGGGGAAUCUUGCACAAUGGAGGAAACUCUGAUGCAGCGAUGCCGCGUGAGUGAAGAAGGCCCUUGGGUUGUAAAGCUCUUUCGUCGGGGAAGAAAAUGACUGUACCCGAAUAAGAAGGUCCGGCUAACUUCGUGCCAGCAGCCGCGGUAAUACGAAGGGACCUAGCGUAGUUCGGAAUUACUGGGCUUAAAGAGUUCGUAGGUGGUUGAAAAAGUUAGUGGUGAAAUCCCAGAGCUUAACUCUGGAACUGCCAUUAAAACUUUUCAGCUAGAGUAUGAUAGAGGAAAGCAGAAUUUCUAGUGUAGAGGUGAAAUUCGUAGAUAUUAGAAAGAAUACCAAUUGCGAAGGCAGCUUUCUGGAUCAUUACUGACACUGAGGAACGAAAGCAUGGGUAGCGAAGAGGAUUAGAUACCCUCGUAGUCCAUGCCGUAAACGAUGUGUGUUAGACGUUGGAAAUU